AGCUAUGCAUUCUCUACUGUCACAGCCUGCUGAUGAAGAUCCUCAGCUUAUACAGAGGUCAGGCUUGAGCUAUGUGCUGAUUCAAAAGAUGCUAAUGACAGUGGAUAAUCCAUUCUGAGUUGUUCUAGGACCAUUCACCAACGUUUCAAAACACUGAUGGAACUGAAGGCAGUAGGUGUACUGGUGUCUGGCCUGUGAUUUCAAGUAUAAUAAUUGAUGUACCUCCUCCUGAUGUAUCUUCUUGAAUACAAUAUAUCUGCCAUGUGGAAGGAACAAGCUGCAAGAUAUACUGUGGAAGUGGGGGCCUAUGUAAAAAACAUUUUAUUUAAAGAAUAUAAGAAAUCUGACACUAAACUACUGAAAAGGUGCACAGGGGACAUUUUUGUGUGUAUAGACUUUCAUCAAGAUUCUGAGAAAGUUGAUUUAUUAAACAAAAAUAGUCAUAUUGUGUCUUCAAAGCUGAAAAGAUUAAGAUCUUAGGAAAACAUUAGGACUCAAGAAAAGUAAUGGGGUUAUGAAACUAGUGUUCAACAUUUAAAUUGUUUUUGUUUUUUUCACUACAUUUUGUGAAGAGGGUUCCAUCACAAGAUGUGACAUAUUGGUAAGAAUGAGAUGAAGUUUAUGAAAAAAAGUAUUUUGCUUUAAAUGUGCAGACUUUAAGUUACAUAAAAAUCAAAGCUGUAACAAUAAAGCUUGAUUAAAAAAACACACUGUUGAAAACUAGCCUUCAUGUAAAUGUCACACUUUUUUGGGUGCCCAGGGGACACAAUUGGCUAUAUAAUUUAAUAUAACUUUAACCCUUAGGCCCUUGCUAAAUUUCUUUAAUGAACUUGUCCGUUUUACAAUCUGGACAGUAUUAUUAAGUGUUAAAAGGGGUGCUAACCAAAAAGAUACUGACUGUAUGGUGAACAGUGCAGAUCAAGAUCAGACUGCACAGAUGUGCAGGCUGAUCAUGAUCUACACUUGUAACAAAGGUAGGACCAAGCAUGUACAGCAUGAUAAGGGUUAAAACUGCUUGAGCCAUUCAGCUGAAAAUUGCAAACAUUUGUUGACUACAUUGAUUGGAUAUAUGUAAUUUGCCCCAAAACACUUUAUAAAACUAAACCGAAUUAAAAUAAGGUGAGUGAGAAGAAAAAGCUUAAUUAUUUAAAAAAAACAAACAAUAUAGUCGAAAGAUAUACAUUGUUGAAUAUACAUUAUCUUUGUUCACAUUAAAUUUAAAUGUGGCUGCCACAUUGUUUGUUAGGAACAUAAGACACAUUAAUUUCUUGUUUUCGAAUUUUAAUUAUCGCAUUUAUGUGUCAAAGAUUGGCAUGGGUGAAAAUGUUACUGAAAAUACUAAAUCAGUUUUUAUUGAUUAACUCCCUUUUUGGCUUGUGCAGUAUAAAGUCAUGUGCAUCAUUGAAAGUAUAUGUAGUACUUUUCUAACCAACUGAUAAACACUCUAUUUUUGGAAAGUUUGUUGCAUAAAGUUAAAGGAGGUUUUUUUUGUAUGAAAUUUAUAUGGUGUAGGCCUUUAAGCUGUUUACUUUAAAAACCACCUUGUAUUUUUGAUAAUUUCUUAUGUAAUUAAGUCAUUUCUAAUAAUUUCUCUUUUAAUUGACCCUGAGUGGCAGUUCUUGUUAACUACAAAACCAUCUACUAUUAUUGGUUAACUAAUUAUUGGAAUAGUGAGCAUUUUAACAUUGUUUCAGCACAAUGCACUCCUUUAUGGGAAUAGGGAGGCAAUAGCACAUUUAACUAUUAAACUAAUUAUUAAA
rnacentral:lncRNA from 1 species